CAGUAGCCGCGGUAAUACGGAGGGUGCAAGCGUUACUCGGAAUCACUGGGCGUAAAGGACGCGUAGGCGGAUUAUCAAGUCUCUUGUGAAAUCUAACGGCUUAACCGUUAAACUGCUUGGGAAACUGAUAAUCUAGAGUAAGGGAGAGGCAGAUGGAAUUCUUGGUGUAGGGGUAAAAUCCGUAGAUAUCAAGAAGAAUACCUAUUGCGAAGGCGAUCUGCUGGAACUUAACUGACGCUAAUGCGCGAAAGCGUGGGGAGCAAACAGGAUUAGAUACCCCCGUAGUCCCUGUCUCUUAUAC
rnacentral:rRNA from 1 species